UGCAAGUCGAACGGAGCUUAAGAAGGAAGCUUGCUUCAUUUAAGCUUAGUGGCGGACGGGUGGAGUAACGCGUGAGCAACCUGCCCUUCAGUGGGGAAUAACACCGAGAAAUCGGUGCUAAUACCGCAUAAUGUCGGAGGACCGCAUGAAUCUUCCGACCAAAGGAUUUAUUCGCUGAAGGAUGGGCUCGCGUCCGAUUAGGCAGUUGGCGGGGUAACGGCCCACCAAACCAACGAUCGGUAGCCGAACUGAGAGGUUGAUCGGCCACAUUGGGACUGAGACACGGCCCAGACUCCUACGGGAGGCAGCAGUGGGGAAUAUUGGGCAAUGGGCGAAAGCCCUGACCCAGCAACGCCGCGUGAAGGAUGAAGGUCUUCGGAUUGUAAACUUCUUUGAUUGGGGAAGAAUAAAUGACCUACCCAAAGAACAAGUCACGGCUAACUACGUGCCAGCCGCAGC
rnacentral:rRNA from 1 species